rnacentral:rRNA from 1 species
GACGAACGCUGGCGGCGUGCUUAACACAUGCAAGUCGAACGGUAAGGCCCUUCGGGGUACACGAGUGGCGAACGGGUGAGUAACACGUGGGUGAUCUGCCCUGCACUUCGGGAUAAGCCUGGGACACUGGGUCCAAUCCCGGAUAGUCCCACUGACUGCAUGGGGGGUGGUGGAAAGCUUUUGCGGUGUGGGAUGGGCCCGCGGCCUAUCAGCUUGUUGGUGGGGUGAUGGCCUACCAAGGCGACGACGGGUAGCCGGCCUGGGAGGGUGACCGGCCACACUGGGACUGAGAUACGGCCCAGACUCCUACGGGAGGCAGCAGUGGGGAAUAUUGCACAAUGGGCGCAAGCCUGAUGCAGCGACGCCGCGUGAGGGGUGACGGCCUUCGGGUUGUAAACCUCUUUCAGCACCGACGAAGCGCAAGUGACGGUAGGUGCAGAAGAAGGACCGGCCAACUACGUGCCAGCCGCCGCCGUAA